rnacentral:rRNA from 1 species
UACGUAGGGGGCAAGCGUUGUCCGGAAUUAUUGGGCGUAAAGCGCUCGCAGGUGGUUCGUUGCGUCGUGCGUGAAAGACCCCGGCUCAACUGGGGAGCGUCGUGCGAUACGGGCGGACUGGAGGCCAGUAGGGGGAUGCGGAAUUCCGGGUGUAGUGGUGGAAUGCGUAGAGAUCCGGAGGAACACCAGCGGCGAAGGCGGCAUCCUGGACUGGUCCUGACACUCAUGAGCGAAAGCGUGGGGAGCGAGUCCGG